rnacentral:rRNA from 1 species
UACGAAGGGGGCUAGCGUUGCUCGGAAUCACUGGGCGUAAAGGGUGCGUAGGCGGGUCUUUAAGUCAGGGGUGAAAUCCUGGAGCUCAACUCCAGAACUGCCUUUGAUACUGAGGAUCUUGAGUUCGGGAGAGGUGAGUGGAACUGCGAGUGUAGAGGUGAAAUUCGUAGAUAUUCGCAAGAACACCAGUGGCGAAGGCGGCUCACUGGCCCCGAUACUGACGCUGAGGCACGAAAAGCGUGGGGGAGCAAACAGG